GGAAGGAGGAGAGGAGGAAGAGGAGAGAGUGAAGCUCUGCGGAAACUGGCAGUGCCCCUGCCAUGCUGGCCCACCUCGCUACCUAGAGGCCUCCUAAAGGGGAACUGUGGUGGCCAGCCCCCAGCCCCCAGAACCUAGCCUGACAGCCCAGCAGCUCUUGGAACACUCCUCUGCCUUGACGCCCUUUGCUGACCACGGAACCCGCUUUCCUGGUCAUUUCGGCUGUCAGAAGUCUUGCCACUUUAUCUGUGUGCUCACUGAUUCAGACAGGUGAGGAGGAAGAGGAUGGCUCGCCCUCCUGCCUUUUAUACCUGCCUCAGGCCUGUGUCCCACCUGCAGGUGGGGUCACUUGCCACUCCCACUCGCUCUGGCAGAGGUAACCCCAAGUCCCCAUCUUUCAUGCGACAGAGGCCGGAAGCAGUAUCUGCUAUGAACCACCUGCCCAGCCCCACCCUUCAACCGCAGGCUGGCAGGAUAAGCUGAGAUAAACCUUUCAGUAGAUCCUUGGGCUCUUGGGAACAGAGAGACCUGCUGGCAGAUACUAGCUGGUUCUCUUUACCGGGUGUCAACCGGGCAUCAGGAUAGAGAACCUUCAGUGUGAACCUGCUUGGUUCCCAUGGGGACAGCAGGAUGAUGGGUCCUGGGCCACGGGAGGGUCUCAGCCCUGUUUCUUGUCCUCUCAGCAGGUGGGUACGUGGAGCAGAUGGAGGAGGAGGAAUGGAUUCCUGGGAGCCUGUGAGGAAAUUACCUACAUCUAGGCGCCAGGACCGGGGAGAGAUACCUCCUAGAAUGAUCCUUAGACAGUGUUCAUGCUGCAGGUGUGGUGGCGGGGUGGUGGUGGUUAGGGAUAUAAGUCCCUCAUUUUACAGAUGGGCAAGUUGAGGCCCAAGUUUAGAGACCUACUGCAGCAGGUAAGAGCCAUGACUGUGAUCCCUCAGAAGGCUCUCUGAGGACAGCACCUUUAUUUCCAUUGUCCCCUGCUUCAUUUCCAGGCCCAAGCACCUGUUAGAUACACAAUCUACAGCAGGUGUGAAAGGACUAUGAGGGGAAAGAAGCCUCCUGUUUGGACGUUGCUUUCAGCUUUUCAGAAUACUUUCAUCCCCUAAUGCUGCCCCCACAAGCAGCCCAGCAGCUGAACUCCCAUUCCUGAAGGCUGCGUUUUGUGUGUGUACUGGCUUUAAAAUAUCAUUAAAGGGUUCGGGAAAUA